rnacentral:lncRNA from 1 species
GAGGUUCAAUCUCAAAGGCCUCUAAACAAUUAUUUCUUUGAAGGCCUAACCGCUGAAAUUCGAAUUAUAAGUGACAACUUGUCUUCUUCGCCGGAUUCCGGCCACGACCUUAUUUGCUGGAAAUAGAACACCAUCUCAGCCCCGUAUCUUUCAACCAUGUUGCUAUUAUGAGAUUUCUAGAUUUACUAAUUGAACAUCGGAAGAACAAAGGUUCUAAAGGGUGGUCGGCCGAGAGUUUUCGUAGAGAAAGGAAGAUACCAUGAAUAUUGCUAUUUCUAGAACUAUUAAACGAAUGAGAUAAAGAUUGUGUAAUUGGGAAAAGAGAGAGUCGGCAAUAAGUUGAGAUAGAAGUGAAUAUGAGAUAAACAUAAAAAGAAAGGGAGAAGGAAACCAAUCCACGUAGAUUGGAUUUCCUCAAAUUUGCUUAUAGAACAACUAUUUUAUUUUAAUUGCAAAAAGAGGACAUAAUUGUAGAUAAUUACCAUCAACCUUAAGUUAUAUGAUAAACUCAUAUCUAACAUAUAUCAACUAACUAAAUUCAAAUAUCCUAAUUUUCUAUAAUAAAAUGUUAUCUUCAAACUUAAACAACUUUUACGGGGUGUUACACUCUUCCCUCCUUAAAAGAAUCUGGUCCCCAGAUUCUCAACUAUUAUUCGAACAUGGAAAUACAAUUUCCUAAAAUUAUCUUCUUGCUCAUCCAUCGCUUCGUCAGCUUCGUGGUUUCUCCAUAAUACCUUCAAGUCUUGUGAUUGAGGAAUUCGUUAUCAAGAGGAAUACGGUUAUGCGGGUAGUCUAUAGGAGGUUGGUUCCGAAAUAGGGAUCAAUCCCUAUUUAUAUGAUAAGUUAUUCCCAAGCUACGGUUGCUUCAAGGAAGAAUAUCUGAGAUUGAUCGAAAUAGUGUUAACUUAGUCCUUCAAACCUCUACGAAUUAUUUCCAUGACAAUCUGUAACUUCCCAAACUUAGAAUUGACUUGGAUAACGAGUCAAACUAUUAUCGUAACGAAUUCAUAAACACUACUUCAAAUACAUAUGAGCUUGUAAUAGGAAGUACUGCUCAUGGAACCUUAAUACCCGACUUCAUUAGAAAUAUCAUCCAAUUCAUCGGUCUCAUACUCGAUGUAGCCUUAUAGUUGAGCAAGAUGCUAAAUAUUUAUAAUGUUCUAGAAGUUGAAGGCCGAGAUAUAGUUCGUCAACCAAUUAAUGGGACUUGUGAGGUACAUCAACCUGUAAGAAACAAUCUAGUUAGGGUUGUAGCUAGGAGUGCUAUAAAUGGUCUGAUGAGAGGAAUGAAAGGGAUUAAUAAGGGUUUGAUAUCGUUCGAAUCUUUAAAUCUCUCCCUACUUAUCCGUGUCAGAUUCUUCAAGAGAACGUGUUUCUUCUCCUCCGUUUCGCUCGAGCCUUUGUGGUAACUAGAACUACAUAUCUACUUCCACAUCUCCAUAACUCUUUUGACAAUCUCGUGUAGGCUUUAAUCUUUAUUUGAUAAGUCGAACUUUACCGAUAGCAUUCCCUAUGAUCUCCAAUCACCACCCCUUGUGUUUGCUAUCGUUGGUUAUUCGCCGCUCAUCUAGUCUGGAAUUGCAAGGUUGAUUGACACUUUAUUCAAUGAACUACUGCGAAAAUGUUUGUAUUGUCGCUUGCUUGAUAGCUGUCCUAUGUCAUCACGAUAAUUCGCGUUAUGCGUUCACAAGGUUCCUUCAAUGUUUUCAGUCAUCCACUCACACGAGAGUUAGUUUUGAGAACGUUUCUCGUACCGAGCUGAGAUUUUGUCCCAUAUUGCGGAUAGUUGCUUCCAUAACAACGAGAUGAUGUAUAAUCUAUGUCAAGAUAAUGUGAGUUAGCUACAAGAGAUAGAUUUCGGAUCUAAAUUAUCUUCAGGAGAGUGAAGAGGCAACUACUUUCCCGGUCCACAAAAAAUUCUCUUCUCAUUGGUCUACACUAAGUGAAAUUGAAUGCACUACAAUUACAAUCAAAGAGGACGGCGAAGCCUGAUUUACUUAUGGUAUCAACAUUGGACAUUAGAAGAGCUUGAUUAUAGAUGGCGUUCGCAAAGAAAAGGUUUUCAAAUAGUAGGUCGACCAGGCAACGGUUGAUGGAAGAGACUUUUACUUCUAAAGUCAAGAGUACUUGAAGGUGGCAACGGUUGAUACAAUUUUCCCGUGGUUUCGCAACCGCAUGCCUAAUAAAUACUUAUCGUAGAGAAGUCAAGACUCAGAAUAUCUGACAAUUGAGUAGCCUUAAUUCAUUCAAUUCACUACUAUUUCAAGAUAGGUCAACUAGUCUAAUGUCAUUCUUCGACACUAAGUACGCUCUAAUCACGUCCGAAACAGUAUACACACUAUGUCUAGUAAUGUCCAUGGUGAAUUACUUCAACCAAACGACAUGACGGGCAAAACUUAUUUAUAGCAAGUUUAACAUGCAAGCCGAAUUCUUGCAGUUGUCGUUCCCAUCUUACAAAGAAAAGUACAAUCCUCUACGGUGUUAUUGACAAAGGUGUUGUACUUUAAACUUCUUCUCCACAUAGCACUUAGCUCUUCAUAUUAGUCGAAUAGAAUUGCAAAAACUGAUAAUCCAAUGUCAAGAUAUAGCUGACUUAUGGGACACUAGGGACUCUAGAGGUGGCUCAUGCAAGAUUAAGAGGUGUCUCCCGUUGUGUAGCACUUUGCCCUACAUAGAACUUAGCUCCCUGUACCCUGACGAUUAGAAUCAAGAAUUCAAAACGUUCAAGAUACCUUAAGAGUCAACAACUCUAUAAACUUUCUAAGUCGUGAUAACUACAUAACCUUUUUCGUCGAGUAAGAUAAUCGUCGAAACUAUACCAGGUCGAAUCCAUAAGAUGAUAUAACAAUAGAUGCAUACAACCGUAGUCAUAUUACACGACAUUGCCCAAACAAGGUCCAUACUUUUACCCUGAAUUAACAAUAAUCAUGGCCUAUGAGUGAGAGGGAACAACAGGAACCGAUAUGAAGAAGUCGAAUCACAAGGUUUCAAAGGAAUAAGAAACCUCAUAGAAAAGAAGUCGAAUCACAAGGUUUCAAAGGGAUAAGAAAACUCACAGAAUAGGCUAUCCGAAUAGGCUAUCCCAAAUCAAGAAGUAUUAAAUGAGAUGAGGAAUCUCAAAAGGAACGUAACAAGAAUAUGGAAGCAUUCAAACAAGAUCAAACACCUCACUCAUGAUCAAUAAUGGGAAGGAAGUAAGAUAGUCAAGCAAUAUUGUAUUCAAAGAAUCAGAAACCUGAAAAAGUAGGUAACCGAGAUGCCGAAGUAUUGAAAUGAGAUAAGGAGUUUUGAAAUGAGAUAUGGGAUUUCCACUGUGAUCAAUAAUAACAAUGGAACAAUGCAUAUACAAGAAUCGAAUUUUGAGGCCAAAAUAAGAAGAACCUCAAAAUAGGUAGAAAGAUUGACCCGAUAUCAGAAUCAUAACAAUGGUAUAGCCAAAUCAAACGAGAAUAGGGACCUCAAAGGUACUUGAACAAAAUCACGAGAUAUUCAAGGAAAUUGGAACACUGAAAAAUGUAGAAGUAUAGAUUAAGUAAAGCAAUAUUCGAGGAAAUAAAAAGUCUCGACAAAUAGAUUAGCCGAAACUAUAGAGUGUUCAAAGAGAUACAAAACCUCACAAUCAGGUAGAUGAUCAAAGCAGAUGGUAAUAGAAUAAAGUAAGAAGCCUCACAAGAACAUGGCCAAAGUCAUGACGUAUUCAAAAUAAUUGGAACACUAAAGAUGAAGUGAACUGAAUAAGAAGUCUCGGUAAAUAGAUAAGCCGAAACCAUAGAAUAUUUAAAAAAAGGAUAGAAGGUGGAGAUGGUAGCACAAUAAGGUAAGGGGCUUCAAAACAAGGGAUAAUUCAAACCAUGUGGAAUUUGAAGGGGUACGAAACCUCACAACAUUGGUAACCAAAACUAUGAGGUAUUAAAAUGAGAUAAGAAAAUCUAUUACGAUCCACAAAUGAAAUUAGACAGUAUAGGCCAACGAAGCAAAAUUGAAUUCAUUGGAAUGAUAAGGAGUGAACAAAAGAACUCCCGAAUAUUUGGUUCACCGUAAUUCAAUACUCAAAACGAGAUAAUAUGGUUUCGAUAAGGAAGUCAAGUUAUGAAGUAAAAUGGAAUGGGACGUCUACAAGAAAAGGUGUUACCAAAUUCAAGUGAAACUAGGAAAAUCACUCGAGAUAAACAACAUCGGAGAAUUGGAAGCCAACUGAAGUAACCAAAAGAACCAAGAAUCUCAAACUGCGUCUCAGGUUGUGUAUGAUAGAUAUUUCUACGGGGUAUUCCUACUAUUUAUAUCAGUAAUAGACGCUAAAGAAUUAUCUCAAUGCCUUUAAUACUCGAUUACUACCAAUCUUCUCAAUUUCCCAAGAUUCAAUUCAUAGCUCUACAAUUCUCAAAGAUCCAUUUCCAUCACCGCCCGGGCAUCCAACCUAAGGCUUUACCAACCCAAAGCUUUACCAACCCAAAGCUUUACCAACCCAAAGCUCUGAUACCACCUGUAGCGCCCCGCCCCGAGUCGCAGACACCUCGUGGCGGAACACCACUCAACAUGCAGUACAUUCAACGACCCCAAAUAUGCUCCUCAAAAUUGCAAUGAUCAAAACAUCAAACCCCUAAUAUCUAUCCCAUCGUGUUUACAAAAGGAGGUUCUAUUACAAGUCGACUUCGACACUACUUACUCAAUUACAAAAUUCUCGAUCAAAGGAUUCCUAUACGGAACAUAAAUAGAGAUACCUCUCGACGAGACUAAUCGGAGGCAUACACGAGCUUUAACUCUUAGUACGAAAAUUUAGGUAUAAAUCUUUCUUUUACCUGCGCAUUAAUAUCAGAAAGGAGAAACGAAUAAGUCCGAAUGACUUAGUGAAAAACAUAUGAUCCAUGAGUAUGAUGAGAAUCAAGUGAACAGCACAUAUAACGAGAGACUUUACAAGAAUUUCAUUAACAGAAGUGUAACAUGUACAAGAGUGUAACAUGUACGGCUUGAGAUCAAUAUUUGGUGGGGUCUCCAACCUUGUAACUCCCAACAAAUAAAAUCAUAUCACAUCCUUAUCCCUCCAAUCCGUCCCGAGUGGCCACUCGGUCGGAAACAGGCAAGAGGCACGACCGGAACGUGCCGAUCUGGCUCAGGAACGUUUAACUCCAAACGAACGUGAGUCCGAACCAUCAGGAGGUACCAUUCGGGAGACCAGUCAUCGUCAGCCCAAUACUGCCCGAUCGUCUUGCCGAAAUGGUCCUAGGGCCCAGCUCCCCCAAGAGCGUCCUCAAGGGUGGGGACAGUAGGUUCAAGAAUCAAUAUUAUUCCUUUUAGGAAUAUCAAGUCAUUCAUUUCAAGAAUCAAGUCAAUCAUUCACAAGAUAAGUCAUGAUCACGAUAAUCGAACAUCAAGUCUCAGGAUAAUGAACAUGUUCGAGAAUUCAGUUCAAGCCAAGGAGAGAAUAUUCAUGAAUAUGAGAGUCAAGAAGAACCAUAAGUUCAAUAUCGGAUUCCAAGAACGAGUAUAUCAAUAUCUCAAUGAAUUCAAUAAACAUGAGAUUCAAGUUCGAGCCAACGAAAUAUUUAUUCUCGGAAAGCAUUCAAGACAAGAUUUUGAGAAUAAAUAUAGUUCAAUAUCGAUUCAAGGAAAAUGUUCAGGCCAAGGAAUCAAGUAUAGGAAUUAGCCGUGAACAGAGCAACCAAGAGAAUUGACAAGUUCAAGAUUUCAAGAACAAGAUCAAGGUUCCAAGUUCGAGCCAAGAAAACAAUAUGCUCGCAAAACAUUAAGGAUCAUAUUUCAAGAACAAAUAUAAUGAAGGUAUCGAAGGCUUCAAUAUGUACAAAAUAUUCGGUUCAAAGAAAGGAGAUAUUAUGCGCAGGAAAGAAAUUGGAUAAGGAGUCAUAGUUUCUCACUUGGAGUCCAACGCUAGUGCUAUAGAAGCAUCUUUAAGCUUAAACCUUGAGUGAGAGCUUUACUACGCUCAACACCUAUGCAAAUAUUAGAACUAAAUAAGAUUCCAAACAGUAAUAUAGCCAUAUUACUAUCCACUAUAUGACACAUUCAAUUUCUUAAACAUAUACUAAGAAUUGCUUCUCGUGGCACUUUAUUCAAAUAAUCACUGCGAUCGUCGUACUUAUCCGAAUGACCUAAACGAUAUAUAAAGUUAAAUAUAACAUCUGUAUCUACAAGUUUCUUGAAGACACACAGCCCAAAUUAUGAUCCCAACAUAUCGAAAACAGUCCCGCAAGAAGAUACUCAAAACUGCCCUGUUUCCGGCAGAUUACUGUCAUCGGAUUCGGACCUCUAAAACAUGCAUAUUACAUACUCUAAUUCGAUACAAUUGAACACUUACUUAUAUUUUACGAUGUCCUCUACGAGUUUCCUGAAGGAACCGAUUCCAAAUUCGCAUUCAAAACCCUUCGAUUUCGGCUCAGAAAAUAGGUGCGGCAGAAGAUUUUAUUUCCCCAAAAUCCCAGCGGGCUGGCUGACUUCUCCUCAAACUCCGGCGACCACCGGCGGUGCAAACCCUCGAGAACCACCACCAGUAGAGUGCCAAAUUCAUUAGAUUUAUAACGAUGGAUCCUGAUUAACGAGGUUCAAUCUCAAAGGCCUCUAAACAAUUAUUUCUUUGAAGGCCUAACCGCUGAAAUUCGAAUUAUAAGUGACAACUUGUCUUCUUCGCCGGAUUCCGGCCACGACCUUAUUUGCUGGAAAUAGAACACCAUCUCAGCCCCGUAUCUUUCAACCAUGUUGCUAUUAUGAGAUUUCUAGAUUUACUAAUUGAACAUCGGAAGAACAAAGGUUCUAAAGGGUGGUCGGCCGAGAGUUUUCGUAGAGAAAGGAAGAUACCAUGAAUAUUGCUAUUUCUAGAACUAUUAAACGAAUGAGAUAAAGAUUGUGUAAUUGGGAAAAGAGAGAGUCGGCAAUAAGUUGAGAUAGAAGUGAAUAUGAGAUAAAC